rnacentral:rRNA from 1 species
GCCUGGUGCCCAUAGCGCUGUGGAACCACCCCUUCCCAUCCCGAACAGGACCGUGAAACGCAGCCGCGCCAAUGAUAGUGAGCACCUCGCUCGCGAAAGUAGGUCAGCGCCAGGCU